rnacentral:rRNA from 1 species
CGAACGGGUGAGUAACGCGUGAGGAACCUGCCUCAAAGAGGGGGACAACAGUUGGAAACGACUGCUAAUACCGCAUAAGCCCACGGCUCGGCAUCGAGCAGAGGGAAAAGGAGCAAUCCGCUUUGAGAUGGCCUCGCGUCCGAUUAGCUAGUCGGUGAGGUAACGGCCCACCAAGGCGACGAUCGGUAGCCGGACUGGGAGGUUGAACGGCCACAUUGGGACUGAGACACGGCCCAG